GUCCCCAUCUUUAACUCCUUCCACUACACUUUCUGAACCCUUAUCCUCAUGGACAUCAUCCUCAUUUUCAUUCUCCUCUCCAGAUGUAAUUGCCACCGCAGCUCCGACGAGGACACUUAUCGGCUCCGAGAUUAUCCCAUCUGUCUCCGUCGCCGUUGCUGGUCCCCCUUGCGACCCCUCAUCGGGCAUCUCCGUCAUUUCUUUUCACUCUAUCGAUUCUCACACACAAAUCGACUUCCUCGACCAAGAAAGGGAAGAGAGGAGAGAAAGAGAAUUUUUUUUCAACGGGAAUACGAUUUGAUUUUGUUAAAUCCGAAAUUAAAAUUAGGGUUUCAUUAACCCGGAAUGGGGAAUCGGUCUGGGUUUCCUUCGGUUUUCGUUUUGGGUUUUGUUGGGGUCGCGGUUUGAAUUAGAUCGGAUUGAAUUUCGGUACAACUAGGUAUAACUCGUAAAUAACUGAACCUUCCUACGGUUUAAUGGUCUUUUACAUACUAUCUUAAUUAAAUAAAGAUAGAAAAUAUCCACGUUUUAUAACGGGUCCUUGGAAGAUUGAUUCAUGAGAUCCUCUCUCUCUCUCUCUCUCUCUCUCUCUCUCUCUCUCUCUCUCU
rnacentral:lncRNA from 1 species